rnacentral:rRNA from 1 species
UGGGGAAUUUUGGACAAUGGGCGAAAGCCUGAUCCAGCAAUGCCGCGUGUGUGAAGAAGGCCUUCGGGUUGUAAAGCACUUUUGUCCGGAAAGAAAUCCUUGGCUCUAAUACAGUCGGGGGAUGACGGUACCGGAAGAAUAAGCACCGGCUAACUACGUGCCAGCAGCCGCGGUAAUACGUAGGGUGCAAGCGUUAAUCGGGAUUACUGGGCGUAAAGCGUGCGCAGGCGGUUUGCUAAGACCGAUGUGAAAUCCCCGGGCUCAACCUGGGAACUGCAUUGGUGACUGGCAGGCUAGAGUAUGGCAGAGGGGGGUAGAAUUCCACGUGUAGCAGUGAAAUGCGUAGAGAUGUGGAGGAAUACCGAUGGCGAAGGCAGCCCCCUGGGCCAAAUACUGACGCUCAUGCACGAAAGCGUGGGGAGCAAACAGGAUUAGAUACCCUGGUAGUCCACGCCCUAAACGAUGUCAACUAGUUGUUGGGGAUUCAUUUCCUUAGUAACGUAGCUAACGCGUGAAGUUGACCGCCUGGGGAGUACGGUCGCAAGAUUAAAACUU